rnacentral:lncRNA from 1 species
GUUGUGUCAAACAUCUGGAAUGCUUUUCGCAUAAUCGCGGUCUUUUGUUCGUCUUCUUCCUGGAAUUUUUUACAAAAAACAAUUAAUAAAUAAUUUUUAUUGAUUCUUUGGAAGAUAAAAAAAUUUUAAAAAGCUCUUCUGACUGAAUAAUUUAUGCUAAGAUGCUUUCAAAAGAUAAGAUGACAAAAAGGGAGAUAAUUCUUACCAUGAUUGAUGUCUUGCAACGCAAGCGGAUGAAAGUUACCUGACGCGAACCUGCAGCUUCUCGGGAAGAUAUAAAGGCCCGUGGGGUGAACCAAAACCAGCUAGAAAGCUACUACCCAAUUACACACUAGUCUGCACAAAAAUAGUCGACGCACAAGAGAAACGAAAAAUGAAAUAUGUUAUAAGUUUCCGCUGAGGUUUCCACGCCGAGAGAAGGUGCCUGCUAUUUUGUAUAUCAUGGGAAUUAAGUAUAAAUUACUUGAAUACUUAAUUUGUCUGAUCUUCUCCAAUAAUAAAGGACAGAAAGAUGACUCUGCAUACAAUAUACUGGUUUAGUAAAAAGGUGUCGCAAGUUAAGGAAUUACGUAAUUGGGUUGAAGCGUUGAUGAGGCCAGUACAAAAUUAUCUUCCAGUAAAAUUUUUGGCUCAAUAAUGUCACAGGCGAUUUAGAUCACCUUCAAACGUAUCCUCGAUUAAAUAAACACGUGACGGCGUGAUUAUGAUAAAUAAAAUCCAAACAAUUUACUCAUUGGAUUUAUAUAUAAAUAAUAUAAAUAAAUACACACGGUAAUGUUGAUGUUAAUGGAUAUGAGGGGGUGUUAAUUGAACUGCAGGCAUGAAAGAAGAAAAUUACUUCGCUAGUUUAACGCUGUUUAAAUUAAGUGGAUUAUAAUAACGAUAUUCUUCUUCUGCCGCAAUAAAAACAUACAUACAUCAUGCGUUUGAGGUACGAAACCCAUCAACGAAUAACAUGUGCCAAAUUUUAAAAAGACACUGCUCGCUGGCAACCGACGUGUCUCUGAUACGACUCGUUGGAAGAGAAUGCAAUCCAAGAUGAUGAUAUGUUAGUUGGUUGGUCCUUCGUGUGCACUUAAAGUCUGUAACACUUAGUUAUCUUCUCCACCUUACUCUUCUUGAGUUAUGCAUUGCUCUCCACAUAAGACAAUACUAAUAUUAAAUUAAUUAUCAUUUUCAGAAAAUAAAUUUUUGAGUACUUAAAUACAUGACGGGUCACAAUUGUGAUAUUCUAAACAUAUAAUAUGCUUGACAAUUUUUAAUGACUAAUUUUUGUUCAGAUAGUACAGAACUAAAUCAUGAUCAGUUAGAUUUGAUGCUGAAGUGUUGCUUAUUAUCUCUAGUAUUGAAAACAGACGGUGACCUGAAAACACAUCAUUCAAGGUCGGGAUUGAUUGCAUGUUAAAUGUUUAAAUAACCAUUGGAUAAUUUCCUUAUGUCUGUUAUUAUUAACUUGACGUCUGAAGGAAGAAAUUUUUCAGUGUUUAAAUUCCCAAAAUUUAAUAAUAAUAAAUAAAUUCAGAAAUUUAUUUGAACGCUGAUGAGCAACAUUGUUGCACAGCUGAGUAAGUUCAUUCAACUUUUAAUCCAGAGAUGUUGCGUUAUUAAAUAAAACUUGGUGGUCCUUUCCAACAAUAGUUUUGCGAUGAGGUUAAUUGGCUUUGAGCCACUCAAAUCACAAAACUAUACGUAAAUAACGUUCCCGUGGGUUUCAAAUAUUUUACUCACACUGUUAUUAUUAUUAUUAAUAUUAUUUUAUUAUUAUUAUUAUUAUUAUUAUGACGAUUGAGGAUAGUACGCUACGCGUCAUCAACAACUUUUACUAAAAAUAAAUCAGUAUGACAGUUUA